ensembl:lncRNA
GAUAGAUAUGCCAAAGUAGACAAGGUACAGUGCUUAUGUGGACACUCAUUUCUUAGUGAUGAAGAAUAAUAAACAAAUGUGAACACGUGUCUGCUAUAUUUUACAGAAAAUGCACAUGAAUACUGGGCAUGUAGAAAAAGCUUACAGCAUUUUAAAAGCUUGAAAAUAACAUAUUUGAUAUUUAAAAAAAGGUUAAUUCCAAGUUAUGGCAUUAAAUGCUGUCCAGCACCGAACACAUGGGAAAUCUUUUGGACUUUGGUUUGAGUAAACAGAAAACAUAGCAGCAGCUGUACAUCAACACUGUCCAGAAGCGCCGCCCACUUCUCUGGGCUCGGUCUCAUCUGAGAUGGAGAGUAACACAGUGAAAUCGUGUUUUGUGGUCCAACGAGUUGACAUUUCAAAUCGUUUUUGGACAAAAUAGCCGUCAUGUUCUCCGGGCCGUCUAAGCUGUUAUCAGCAUCAGGUCCAAAAGCCAGUCCAAGUCAUGGGAUGUCCCUGCAUUUUCCAGCAGGACAACGC